rnacentral:lncRNA from 1 species
ACUCUUUUAGUUUUGUUUGGUUCAGAUAUAAAUAAGAACGGCUUAUUUUAAAAAUAUAUAUAAAUUUAGAUAUAAUAAAAAUUAAAUUAACUUUAUAUUUGAAUGAAAAUUAGUUUGUUUUCGAGAAUAAGAAAAAUAAUGUUUGUGUAGAUAAAAUAGAAUUAGAUUAAUAAGUAGUUAUAAAUAAAAAAUAAUAUGUUACUCCCCUUAUUAAAUUUUAUAUUUAAUUUUUUAAAUUUAAAAUUUUAAUUUUUAAUUUCAAAUUUUAAAUUUAAAAUAUCAAAUUAUAAAAUUUAAAAUUCAAAAUUUAAAUUUAAAAUUUUAAGUUUAAGAUCAAAUUUAAAUUUAAAAAAUAUAAAGGAAAAACUUCAAAAACCCUCAUGUGGGUUCGUAGUUUCUCACUUUGACCCCCUGUGGUUUAAAAUGUAUCAAUUUGCUCCCCUGUGGUUUCUUUUUUCUCUUUUUCUUACCAAUUUCAUUUUUUUUUUCUUAAAUCAGUGAUAAAGUUAAAAUUAAAGGGUACUAAAGUGAAUAUUUGAUAAAUAUAGAUGGGUAUCUGAAGUUUUUUGUAAAUAAUUUAAUAAAAUAUUAACGAAAAAGUUACUGAAAAGAUAAAAACGAAACAACAGGGGGGCAAUCUGAUACAUUUUAAACCACAGGGAGGCAAAGUGAGAGACUCCGAAACCACAGGGGAGGUUUUUGAAGUUUUUCCAAAUAUAAAAUAUAAAAUUUUAAAAUUUUAAAAUUAUAAAUUUAAUUUUAAAAUUAUAAAUUAUAAAUAAUAAAUUAAAAUUUAUCUCUCUCUCAAGCUUGUUUUUAGAAC